rnacentral:lncRNA from 1 species
GGAAGAUCUGCCCUGAAGCUGGAUGGGAGGAAGGUCAAAGCCACCUCCAUUGCAAAGCUGCAGCAGUGACCCCACAAUGGGAACAUCAGUCCCAGAUGGCUUCCAGCACUGGGAAUUCUGAAGACCAGACGGAAAAUAUUCCUCAGUGGAGCCCCAGGAUUUGAGUGACACAACAACAAUAUUCCCUCCAAGCGUGUGGGGCAGCCAGGUGAGAGAGGCUUUGCUGGCACCGCCGGGGAUGCGCUGACGCCGGCUCCUGGCCCCGGCCGGAGGCUUCGAAGCACACGAUGCUUUCCAAGUGGGAUUGCACCUGGAGAUUUGCACCUUCUCCAGCCUGGAAGGAGCAGCCAGAAUGGCAGUGCCUUGCUGAGGCUGUGCUACAGCCAGUGCCCAGACCAUUUGGUGUCAGCAGCUUACCAGGUGACACCAGGUGUGUGUCUCUGCUCAGAUGUGUCCCCAGGCCUCUGCCCCUCCAUCUGUCUCCUCUGAUGGACCAAGAAAUAGACACAGCUUUUGUAAGCCCACAGAGUGACUCUCCAAAUUCAUAUUUGCAGAAAGACAUUAAUGUUCACAUGUGGUGUCAGAACAAGAUAAGUGUCUGUGCAAUUAAGAAACAGCUGUUGCUGGCAGCUUGCCCCAGCCAGUCUCAACAAGGAGCAAGACAGGUAGCCUGGUUUUAUCAGACUCUGGGAUUCCUUUCCAACCACUCCUGUGUGUUCCCAGCAAGACAAUAUAUCAGCCUGUAG